UACGGGGGGGCAAGCGUUGUUCGGAAUUACUGGGCGUAAAGCGUGCGCAGGCGGUUAUAUAAGACAGUUGUGAAAUCCCCGGGCUCAACCUGGGAACUGCAUCUGUGACUGUAUAGCUAGAGUACGGUAGAGGGGAUGGAAUUCCGCGUGUAGCAGUGAAAUGCGUAGAUAUGCGGAGGAACACCGAUGGCGAAGGCAAUCCCCUGGACCUGUACUGACGCUCAUGCACGAAAGCGUGGGGAGCAAACAGG
rnacentral:rRNA from 1 species